CACAAGGCUAGGUUCCCGUAUAGUUGCAGUCAUCCAGGAAAACGAUUCAUUUGGAUUGAUUUCGCGUUUAGCAGCUGUUGUAGACAGAGAAAGACAUCAUCGUCUGUUUGAGGCUGUGCUGUGGCAUUGUUUGGAUCUGACAAGGUGUUUGCUAUCGUCGGAUGCUGCAUUGCUGUGUGAUAGGAUGGGAGACUUCGGAUUGAUCUGUGAGCGUGCCUGAUGUCAGGGAGAGAUCCUCCUGUUCUGUAUGGGGGAGGAAGGUUGUUGCUGUUUUGUUGAGGGGAGUUUGGCGUGUUGUUUGGAGCUCUUUGGUUUUCUUCGUUUGUUGUGUUUCUGUUAGAGUGGACUGGAGAUGGUGGACUGACGACGACAGAUGUGACAGCUAUGCUUGCGUUCUGGCGUUGAUUCUAGAGCUUUCUUCAUCAACAGAAUAGACAGAAUGAACGUGAUCAUAUCAGGAAAUGCGGACGCAAUAUUGCAAAUGAAUAUGGUCACAAAUACGUUGUAUAUAUCCGCAUCUGUGGGACUGCAACUCGAUGUAGACAAAUCCGUCUGCUUAACAAGAUCGUUUACUGUUUGAUAGCAGCGGCAGACUUGUUUAUCGACACUCCAAAGACACUGCUGGUAGUCAUUCUUAUAUCGUUCGCCGUCACUUUGAGCUGACAGUGCAAAGUGAAGGUUGAGGGAGAGACAAGUGAGCGAUAUGAUGAUGGCCGCACUGAGCUGUAACAAAAAAGGAAUGAUAGUUUAUGCUUUGUGAUGAUUGGGUUGUGAUUGAACAGUGUGUUAGUGACUUACAAGUAAACGAGCUAGGAGACUGUUUCGUAGACAACCAUAUGUUGUGAUACCUUCGAGGCCGAAUGCUAUUAGCUGCAAGAAAAUGAUAGUGGCAGUUGUUGUCAGUGUGUAUUGUUGAUAUUGUUUUAGUC